rnacentral:rRNA from 2 species
UCGGUCCCUAUCUGCCGUGGGCGCUGGAGAAUUGAGGGGGGCUGCUCCUAGUACGAGAGGACCGGAGUGGACGCAUCACUGGUGUUCGGGUUGUCAUGCCAAUGGCACUGCCCGGUAGCUAAAUGCGGAAGAGAUAAGUGCUGAAAGCAUCUAAGCACGAAACUUGCCCCGAGAUGAGUUCUCCCUGAGACUUUAAGUCUCCUGAAGGAACGUUAAAGACGAUGACGUUGAUAGGCCGGGUGUGUAAGCGCAGCGAUGCGUUGAGCUAACCGGUACUAAUGAACCGUGAGGCUUAACCUU